rnacentral:lncRNA from 1 species
GUGGAACUGGGGGGCUCCCUUCCCAACAUUUCCCAUCCUGGUGAUCAUCCAGAAACUUGGCUUGGGGAAUGUUCUAGUUUGCUUUCUAUUGUAUGAUGACCAUCAGACCCAAAGCAACUUGGAGAGGAAAGGCUGUAGUUGGCUUAACAUUUCUGUAUCACAAUCUAUGACUGAGAAAGGCCAGGGCAGAAACUCAAGCAGGAACCAUGGAGGAGAACUGCUUACUGGCUUGCUCCCCUUGGCCCGCUCAGUCUUCUUUCUACAUCUGCCCAUAAAUGGCCAUCCACAGUGCACUUGGCCCUCCUACAUCAAUCCUCAAUCAAGAAAAUGCCUCAACAGAGGUGUCCACAGGCCAAUCUGAUGGAGACAAUUCCCCAGUCCAGGUUCUCUCUUCCCUGGUGACUCUAGUUUUGUGUCAGGUUGGCAAAAACUGACCUUCUCAGGGAGGUAGAAGGCAGAAAGAGUUACAUCCAUCCUGGGUUUGUGUCUCAGAAUAUCCCUGCUGUCCGCAUUCACUCUCUCUUCCUGGUUCCUCUCCAACUCUCCUCCCUCUGUCCCUAGAGCUUCCCCAGAAGAAUCAGCGCCUGGAGAAGUACAAAGAAGUGAUUAGCUGCCUG